rnacentral:rRNA from 1 species
GGAAAUUGGACAAUGGGCGAAAGCCUGAUCCAGCAAUGCCGCGUGUGUGAAGAAGGCCUUCGGGUUGUAAAGCACUUUAAGUUGGGAGGAAAAGCUUGCGGUUAAUAGCCUUAAGUGUUGACGUUACCAACAGAAUAAGCACCGGCUAACUCCGUGCCAGCAGCCGCGGUAAUACGGAGGGUGCAAGCGUUAAUCGGAAUUACUGGGCGUAAAGCGCGCGUAGGCGGUUUGUUAAGUCAGAUGUGAAAUCCCCGGGCUCAACCUGGGAAUGGCAUUUGAGACUGGCAGGCUAGAGUAUGGUAGAGGUGAGUGGAAUUUCAGGUGUAGCGGUGAAAUGCGUAUAGAUCUGAAGGAACAUCAGUGGCGAAGGCGACUCACUGGGCCAUUACUGACGCUGAGGUGCGAAAGCGUGGGUAGCAAACAGGAUUAGAUACCCUGGUAGUCCACGCCCU